rnacentral:rRNA from 1 species
GACGAACGCUGGCGGCGUGCUUAACACAUGCAAGUCGAACGAAGUGGCGAACUGGUGAGUAACGCGUAAUCAACCUGCCCUUCAGAGGGGGACAACAGUUGGAAACGACUGCUAAUACCGUAUACUGAAGGAGGGGAUUGCGUCUGAUUAGCUAAUUGGAGGGGUAACGGCCCACCAAGGCGAUGAUCGGAAGCCGGUCUGAGAGGAUGAACGGCCACAUUGGGACUGGGGCACGGCCCAGACUUCUACGGGAGGCAGCAGGGGGGAAUCUUCCGCAAUGGACGAAAGUCUGACGGAGCAACGCCGCGUGAGUGAUGACAGCCUUCGGGUUUUAAAGCUCUGUUAAUCGGAACGCGGUACCGAAAUAGAAAGCCACGGCUAACUACGUGCCAGCAGCCGCGGUAAUUC